rnacentral:rRNA from 1 species
CCUAUCAGGUUGUAGUGGGUGUAACGUACCUACUAGCCAACGACGGGUACGGGUUGUGAGAGCAAGAGCCCGGAGAUGGAUUCUGAGACAUGAAUCCAGGCCCUACGGGGCGCAGCAGGCGCGAAAACUUUACAAUGCGGGAAACCGCGAUAAGGGGACACCGAGUGCCAGCAUACUAUGUUGGCUGUCCACAUGUGUAAAUAGCAUGUGUUAGCAAGGGCCGGGCAAGACCGGUGCCAGCCGCCGCGGUAACACCGGCGGCCCGAGUGGUAAUCACUUUUAUUGGGUCUAAAGGGUCCGUAGCCGGUUUGAUCAGUCUUCCGGGAAAUCUGAUAGCUCAACUAUUAGGCUUCCGGGAGAUACUGUCAGACUUGGGACCGGGAGAGGUAAGAGGUACUACAGGGGUAGGAGUGAAAUCUUGUAAUCCCUGUGGGACCACCAGUGGCGAAGGCGUCUUACCAGAACGGGUCCGACGGUGAGGGACGAAAGCUGGGGGCACGAACCGGAUUAGAUACCCGGGUAGUCCCAGCCGUAAACGAUGCUCGCUAGGUGUCUGGAAUGGUGCGACCGUUUCAGGUGCCGCAGGGAAGCCGUGAAGCGAGCCACCUGGGAAGUACGGCCGCAAGGCUGAAACUUAAAGGAAUUGGCGGGGGAGCACCACAACAGGUGGAGCCUGCGGUUUAAUUGGACUCAACGCCGGAAAACUCACCGGGGGCGACAGCAAUAUGUA